rnacentral:rRNA from 1 species
AAUACUUAGGAAUCUACCUAUUAAUGGGGGACAACAUUUCGAAAGGAAUGCUAAUACCGCAUACGCUCUACGGGGGAAAGCAGGGGAUCUUCGGACCUUGCGUUAAUAGAUGAGCCUAAGUCGGAUUAGCUAGUUGGUGGGGUAAAGGCCUACCAAGGCGACGAUCUGUAGCGGGUCUGAGAGGAUGAUCCGCCACACUGGGACUGAGACACGGCCCAGACUCCUACGGGAGGCAGCAGUGGGGAAUAUUGGACAAUGGGGGGAACCCUGAUCCAGCCAUGCCGCGUGUGUGAAGAAGGCCUUUUGGUUGUAAAGCACUUUAAGCGAGGAGGAGGCUACUGGUACUAAUACUACCAGCUAGUGGACGUUACUCGCAGAAUAAGCACCGGCUAACUCUGUGCCAGCAGCCGCGGUAAUACAGAGGGUGCGAGCGUUAAUCGGAUUUACUGGGCGUAAAGCGUGCGUAGGUGGCCAAUUAAGUCAAAUGUGAAAUCCCCGAGCUUAACUUGGGAAUUGCAUUCGAUACUGGUUGGCUAGAGUAUGGGAGAGGAUGGUAGAAUUCCAGGUGUAGCGGUGAAAUGCGUAGAGAUCUGGAGG